CCUACGGGGGGCUGCAGUGGGGAAUAUUGCACAAUGGGCGCAAGCCUGAUGCAGCCAUGCCGCGUGUGUGAAGAAGGCCUUCGGGUUGUAAAGCACUUUCAGCGGGGAGGAAGGCGGUGAGGUUAAUAACCUCAUCGAUUGACGUUACCCGCAGAAGAAGCACCGGCUAACUCCGUGCCAGCAGCCGCGGUAAUACGGAGGGUGCAAGCGUUAAUCGGAAUUACUGGGCGUAAAGCGCACGCAGGCGGUCUGUCAAGUCGGAUGGGAAAUCCCCAGGCUCAACCUGGGAACUGCAUUCGAAACUGGCAGGCUAGAGUCUUGUAGAGGGGGGUAGGAUUCCAGGUGUAGCGGGGAAAUGCGUAGAGAUCGGGAGGAAUACCGGUGGCGAAGGCGGCCCCCUGGACAAAGACUGACGCUCAGGUGCGAAAGCGUGGGGAGCAAACAGGAUUAAUACCCGGGUAGUC
rnacentral:rRNA from 1 species